rnacentral:rRNA from 1 species
GUCGAACGAAGUAGCAAUACUUAGUGGCAGACGGGUGAGUAACAUGUAGGUAUCUACCCUUUGGCCUGGAAUAACACGAGGAAACCUGUGCUAAUACCGGAUAAGUCUUUACGGAGAAAGCUUUAUGCACCAUUGGAUGAGCCUGCACUUGAUUAGUUAGUUGGUAGGGUAAUGGCCUACCAAGACUAUGAUCAAUAGCUGAUUUGAGAGGAUGAUCGGCCACAUUGGGACUGAGACACGGCCCAAACUCCUACGGGAGGCAGCAGUGGGGAAUCUUGCACAAUGGAGGAAACUCUGAUGCAGCGAUGCCGCGUGAGUGAAGAAGGCCCUUGGGUUGUAAAGCUCUUUCGUCGGGGAAGAAAAUGACUGUACCCGAAUAAGAAGGUCCGGCUAACUUCGUGCCAGCAGCCGCGGUAAUACGAAGGGACCUAGCGUAGUUCGGAAUUACUGGGCUUAAAGAGUUCGUAGGUGGUUGAAAAAGUUGGUGGUGAAAUCCCAGAGCUUAACUCUGGAACUGCCAUCAAAACUUUUCAGCUAGAGUUUGAUAGAGGAAAGCAGAUUU